GCUAAAAAUCUAGCCCUCUUUCACCCAAUAAACCUUAAAAAUUAAUUAAAUUAAUUAAAACAUUCUCAAAUCUUAGUAAAGGCGAUCGAAAAAUUAUUAGGAGCUAUAUAAACAGUACCGCAAGGGAAAGAUGAAAUAAAAUGAAAAAUUUAAAGCACAAAAAAGUAGAGACUAACUCUCGUACCUUUUGCAUCAUGGUUUAACUAGUUUAAUUAAGCAAAAUGACUUAUAGUUUAACUUCCCGAAACUAGGCGAGCUACUUCAAGGCAGCUUAUUGAGCAAACCCGUCUCUGUUGCAAAAGAGUGGGAAGACCUUCGAGUAGAGGUGACAGACCUAACGAGCUUAGUGAUAGCUGGUUACUCAAGAAAAGGAUUUUAGUCCACCCCAAAGCUUUUAAAUUUCCUUGAAAUAACAAACUUGCUUUAGAGUAAUUCAAAUAAGGGACAGCCUAUUUGAAACAGGAUACAACCUUCAAAGAUGGGUAAUUGUUUUUUAUAGUGAUUAAGUAGGCCUAAAAGCAGCCACCUUUAAAAUAGCGUCAAAGAUUUAUUACUAUUACCCCUAAUUCCGCCCACAUCCAAGAACCCUCCAUCUCUAUUGAGUACUUCUAUACUGAUAUAGAAUAUUUUAUGUUAAAACUAGUAACAAGAAGCAGAACUUCACUUAAAUGUAAGUGUAGUCAAAAAGGACACCCCACUGACCCCUAACAUAUAUGAAAACAAAUUAACAACCUCUACGGGAAAAACUUAAUUUACACUAUGUUAACCUAACACAAGAACAUUGCAAGUAAGAUUUAAAGAAAAAGAAGGAACUCGGCAAAUAUUAACCUCGCCUGUUUACCAAAAACAUCGCCUCCUGUAGAAUAUAGGAGGUCCAGCCUGCCCAGUGACUCUGUUCAACGGCCGCGGUAUCCUAACCGUGCGAAGGUAGCGUAAUCACUUGUUCUUUAAAUGGGGACCAGUAUGAAUGGCACCACGAGGGUUAUACUGUCUCCUUUUUCUAAUCAGUGAAACUAAUCUCCCCGUGAAGAAGCGGGGAUAGCCCUAUAAGACGAGAAGACCCUAUGGAGCUUUAGAUUAAAUGACAUCUGCCUUCAAACAUAUAAACUUCAGAGGAUUCACACCUAAUAAGGCUUACUGGUUAUUAGUCUUAGGUUGGGGUGACCGCGGAGCAUAAAAUAACCUCCACAUUGAAUGGGGUUUUCCCCUGAGCUCCGAGCUACAACUCUAUGCACCAAUAAAUUGGCACCAAUUGACCCAAUAUUUUUGAUCAACGAACCAAGUUACCCUAGGGAUAACAGCACAAUCCGCUUCAAGAGCUCCUAUCGACAAGCGGGCUUAUGACCUCGAUGUUGGAUCAGGGUAUCCCAGUGGUGCAGCCGCUACUAAAGGUUCGUUUGUUCAACGAUUAAAACCCU
rnacentral:rRNA from 1 species